rnacentral:miRNA from 15 species
GAUUUCAGUGGAGUGAAGCAUA